UGGGGAAUUUUGGACAAUGGGGGCAACCCUGAUCCAGCAAUGCCGCGUGUGUGAAGAAGGCCUUCGGGUUGUAAAGCACUUUUGUCCGGAAAGAAAUCGCCCUGGCUAAUAUCCGGGGUGGAUGACGGUACUGGAAGAAUAAGCACCGGCUAACUACGUGCCAGCAGCCGCGGUAAUACGUAGGGUGCGAGCGUUAAUCGGAAUUACUGGGCGUAAAGCGUGCGCAGGCGGUUGUGCAAGACAGAUGUGAAAUCCCCGGGCUUAACCUGGGAAUGGCAUUUGUGACUGCACGGCUAGAGUGUGUCAGAGGGGGGUAGAAUUCCACGUGUAGCAGUGAAAUGCGUAGAUAUGUGGAGGAACACCGAUGGCGAAGGCAGCCCCCGUGGGAUAACACUGACGCUCAUGCACGAAAGCGUGGGGAGCAAACAGGAUUAGAUACCCUGGUAGUCCACGCCCU
rnacentral:rRNA from 1 species